UUUCUCUCCCUCUCCACUCCUUAAAGCGUCAGGUGCAAACAACCUUCCACUGCGAGUGAAACCACUGGGUCCGGCAUUAUCCACCUUUGAAACGGCGGCUUCACUUGCAGUUUGAUCCUCUAACUUCUCCCCAUUACAGUACACCUCCCCACCAUAAUGCCACGGCACGGCAUCAUCUUUGUCAUAAGGAAUUGGCCCAGGUACCGUGAUAGUAACUGGAGCCGCAUCUGCCAGCGUUGACAAAUCAAC
rnacentral:lncRNA from 1 species